AGCAAGCACCGGCUAACUCCGUGCCAGCAGCCGCGGUAAUACGGAGGGUGCAAGCGUUACUCGGAAUCACUGGGCGUAAAGCGCGCGCAGGCGGCUAUUUAAGUUGGAUGUGAAAGCCUACGGCUCAACCGUAGAACUGCAUCCAAAACUAUUUAGCUAGAGUGUGGGAGAGGAAGAUGGAAUUAGUUGUGUAGGGGUAAAAUCCGUAGAGAUAACUAGGAAUACCAAAAGCGAAGGCAAUCUUCUGGAACACUACUGACGCUGAGGCGCGAAAGCGUGGGGAGCAAACAGGAUUAGAUACCCUGGUAGUCCACGCAGUAAACGAUGAAUGUUAGUCGUCGGGUAGCUAGUCUAUUCGGUGAUGCAGCUAACGCAUUAAACAUUCCGCCUGGGGAGUACGGUCGCAAGAUUAAAACUCAAAGGAAUAGACGGGGACCCGCACAAGUGGUGGAGCAUGUGGUUUAAUUCGAAGAUACGCGAAGAACCUUACCUAGCCUUGACAUAUUUUAGAACACACCAGAGAUGGAGUGGUGCCUUCGGGAGCUAAUUUACAGGUGCUGCACGGCUGUCGUCAGCUCGUGUCGUGAGAUGUUGGGUUAAGUCCCGCAACGAGCGCAACCCUCGUCACUAGUUACUAACGGUUCGGCCGAGGACUCUAGUGAGACUGCCUUCGUAAGGAGGAGGAAGGUGAGGACGACGUCAAGUCAUCAUGGCCCUUACGGCUAGGGCAACACACGUGCUACAAUGGCCCAGGACAGUGAGACGCAAUACCGCGAGGUGGAGCAAAUCUAUAAGCCUGGUCUCAGUUCGGAUUGUUCUCUGCAACUCGAGAACAUGAAGCUGGAAUCACUAGUAAUCGUAGAUCAGCUAUGCUACGUGAUACGUUUCCCGGGUCUUGUACUCCACGCCCGUCACACCAUGGGAGUGAUUUCACCCGAAGCGGGAAGCUAACUGGCUACCCCUCCACGUGGAAUUAGCGACUGGGGGUG
rnacentral:rRNA from 1 species